UACGUAGGGGGCAAGCGUUGUCCGGAUUUAUUGGGCGUAAAGAGCGUGUAGGCGGCUAGUCAGGUCUGCUGUGAAAACUCGAGGCUCAACCUCGAGAUGUCGGCGGAAACCGUCUGGCUAGAGUCCGGAAGAGGAGAGUGGAAUUCCUGGUGUAGCGGUGAAAUGCGCAGAUAUCAGGAAGAACACCUAUGGCGAAGGCAGCUCUCUGGGACGGUACUGACGCUGAGACGCGAAAGCGUGGGGAGCGAACAGG
rnacentral:rRNA from 1 species